UCGCAAUAUCAAGGGUCACAGCAAGAG
rnacentral:sRNA from 1 species